rnacentral:rRNA from 1 species
UACGUAGGUGGCAAGCGUUGUCCGGAAUUAUUGGGCGUAAAGCGCGCGCAGGCGGUCCUUUAAGUCUGAUGUGAAAGCCCACGGCUCAACCGUGGAGGGUCAUUGGAAACUGGGGGACUUGAGUACAGAAGAGAAGAGUGGAAUUCCACGUGUAGCGGUGAAAUGCGUAGAUAUCGAGAGGAACACCUGCGGCGAAGGCGGGUUGCUGGGCUGACACUGACGCUGAUGCGCGAAAGCGUGGGGAGCAAACAGG